GCUGUGACGGCUUCCUGGAACAGCUUACAUUUUACUGGAGCA
rnacentral:sRNA from 1 species